UCUUCAACAUCAGGUUGUGGGAUGGAUGAGAAGCAUGUUUCAAGACCCCAUAAUGAACCUUCCCAUAAAACAGCCAUGGGUAUGAGAAGCAGAGGGCUACAUAAGGGAUAUGUCAGGCAGAUGAGAGCUUUUAGCCUGGAGGAGAUGUCAAGCACUUAGGCACUGCAGGUGAUCUGCUCAACACUCGUCAACACAUAGCUGCUUGUGAAGGUGGUGAAUUAAAGUAUACACUAGUGUUUUAAGAGCCUCCUGAAAUACUGAUCUCAGAGAUCCACAGAAGCUUGAUCCUGGUGGAAGUGGGAAGUGGUAGGCUUGCAUGUGAAGGCUUAUUUCACAGGUAUCGCUACCUCUUUAGCAGAAAUAUGUGACAAUUCAGAGGUCUGUAACAAAUUGGCACGGUUAUGUUCUUCUCAUUUGUCACUGACUUAGUAUGAUUAAUUUAAUGCCAUCUUCAUAUCAGAUCACAUUAUUUUUCUGACACAGGUAUUUAAAAGUAAUUCUGGUUAUUCUUUUUAAUACACCCAAGUCAUUAUUCAUAUAGACUAGAUAUGAGCAAGGAUUGUUUGGGCAUGAGUUUGUGUGUGAAGAACAAUGUGUGUGUGUGCACUCACUCAGAGGGGGGAGUGCUUGGGAAAUGAUUGGCAUGUAACAACAGAAAGCAAUAGUUGCCAUUUCUUUUUAUAAAAUGAAUCCCUUUAAAAUUAUAAUCAAUUGCCUGAGAUUGAAAAUACCAUAAAACUGUUGAGGCUGGAAGGGAUCUUAUCUAGUCCAGCGGCUCUGCUCAAGCCAGAUCAGGUUGCUCAGGACAAGCCUAUGUCUGAUCAUUGCAUAAUUGUUGCACUGUAAAACAAAUAAAGAAAGAAGCAAACAGAAAACUAUGGCAGUGGCUUAGAAUCGUAAGAUUUAAGUCAGUGUAUUUUGUCUUAUUGCAUUGUAUACUUAGCAUUCACAGUUCCUGUUUACAACUGUUUCUCUGAAACCAUGACAAUGAAGAAAAAAAGCCACAAAGGAUUUUCCUUCAAUCACAUGAUUCUAAGAGCUGGAGUUUAUUACAACUAUAUUUAUUACAACUAUCCAGGCUGGAUGUGGCUCUGGGCAGCCUGGUCUAGGGGUUGGUGACCCUGCACAUAGCAGGGGGGUUGAAACUCGAUGAUCAUUGUGGUCCGUUUCAACCCAGGCCAUUCUAUGAUUCUAUGAUUCUAUAUGCAGAGAGAUUUUUGAGUCACUGCAAACAAUGCAUCAUAUCCAGUCCAGACUCCACACAAGGUUGUGAAGGCUAGAAUUAACAGCCAGCCAUGGAGAGGAGCAGUGGAUACAAACAAUUUGGAAUGAGAAGACAGUGGAUCACAGAACCAAAAAUUUCCUCAAGCUUUGCUCAGCUCAGAGAUGAAAGCUUGCAGCUGUGUAAGCAGGAGGCCACAACUGAUCUCAGCUACCAUCAUGACUUUUUUAAGGAGAAGAUGCUUCAAAUUCUUGCUUAUGCCAUCUGCACUUUCAGCACAUGACGUUCAGUGAUUCAUAGGCAUCUCCUGUUGGUCAUCUCAUUGUCAAGUAUUCCCCUUGUUCACAUGGCGCCACACCCGGUAGUUUCUUCCUUGUUUUCUAAACAUCUAUUUUUAAUCAUUUGAGGACUCCAUCAAGAUCUUUCAGACAUGAGGCUCUUCUCUUUUCAUUUGAGUAAUGUGGCAUGCAUAAUGCCUCUAGGUUUUCCAAAGGAUCAGUCCUGGAGCUGAAACAAAAUAAGCAGCUGGAACACCAGGAGUGUACAGUUAGCUUUUAAUUCAAAGACAUCCUGAAAAUCUAGUUUUUGACUGCAAGGUUCAGUGGGGAUAAUCCAUCCUGAGGGUUGUUCUUCUAACUUUUCUUAAGCCUAUCUUGUCAUUUUUGAAAAGGCUGACGUGGUUUUAAAGUUCCCAUGGAAAUUAUGAAUUACUUCAUCUCAACUUUACUGUAUCUCUUCUGCAUUAUCACCAAUGGCCAGAAGGCUUCAUUGAGGGUUCCUAGUAGGUCCUAUUCUGCUGGAAGCUACUGACAUGGAAAAAAAGCUUUUUAUGGCUUAUUAAAAUAAGCUCAAUCUGAUUUGACAAGAUUUCUUAGAGGAGGAUUUUCAGUACGAGCAUUUUUAUUUAUUGUAUGUUAUUUCCUAUAUAUUUGCAGAUAUAGGACCUCUUAUCUUAGGCUCUUCCUCUUUUAAGAUCUGAAUAUCUUUAUGUUUUCUUCUGGCUUCAAUGAAACAUUAAAGAAGGAAGAUCAGAAGUUAUAAUCAAUAAACAUUACCGUUAUAAUCGAUAAACUGCAACAAACAAAAAAGUAAACUUUCAAUUUUAUUAAUACAAUUUCACGAUAAAAUUUCUAAUCUGCCAAGUGAAAUUGAAAGAUAACUUCACAAUGUUUCUGAAGCUUUUAAGAUACUUAAAAUAACAGAAGUACAGUAGCAGAAAAAAAAAAUAAACUUCAACUAUUCAGGCUUCCUGACUUUAAGAAAACACGCCUAUGUGUUGACUGAUAUGUUCCAUCAGAAACAGUUCCAUUAUUUACUAUCAGGAAAGUGAAGAGUGUGACCUAAUUCCUGGAGUGUGUCCCUGUCUUCUCCUGUUAACAGUAACUAGUCCAAUAGAUCUAAAUCUUGAGGAAAGUUCUUGAAGUCUCACAGAAAACAGAAAGUAGAAUGGAACGUUCUUCCCAUUCCAGUUUAUCUGCCAUCAUGUCUCCUGUGGGCACUGCUGAUACUUGCUUCUCCUUUCAACAUCGUUUGAUCCUCCCAAAGUUUCGCUUUGUUUCUGUCUGGCUGGAAAAAAUGAUGAAACUGAAAUCUGGAGCCUAAGAAAAUGAAGACUAGUGACUUGUUCUUACCCCUACCAGAAAGUUAUUACACUUCACACCCCUGAAGGGAAACUACAUAGCAAGGGAACAGCUGUUAGGUCUUUAUACAGUCACUCUAGCAGCAUGCCAGGUCCCCUUAGAUACUGAAAGACCACUGUCAGGUCUCUCUGGAGCCUUCUCUUCUCCAGGAUAAAAAGCCCCAGCUCUUUCAGCCUGUCAACCUUUGCCACCUGGCCAGAAGGGAAGACACGUCCCCUCUGGGUCCCUUUCCUACAUGGAGCCAUGCAGGCCCGGCAGUGCUGGGGAUCUGGAGGUGCUGCUGAGGAUCAUUCAGGUCUGCAGGUACACAGCUGAACUCCUUCCAACUGUGGCUGUAAAUCUGGUGCUGUCCUACACUGCAUUCUUCAGUUCUUGUUUACUGAAAGAGCAUGGUUACUGUGAGUAUUCCAGCUUUCACUGCAAAAAGUGGGAAUUUCUACCUCUCCUUGUUACAAAGCAAAGCUUGAAAACAUGAUGUUGGCAAACUUAAACUCCUGAAAAUCUGGGAUUGAUGUAAUAUAAGAGAUGGGCUCAUAAUUUUUGUGAUUACACAUCACUUGAAGGGGGGGGGGGGGAGGGGGGCAUUAAUUAUUUCUGACUGUUUGCAGGUGCAAAGUUUCCUCUUUGGGAAUGCUUUGUCAGUGAUGUCCUCAGACUGAUAAUAACAUCAUUUUGCUAUUAGCAUGUGUGAAUAUGAGCAGUCCUAUGGUCUAAUACAUUUCCUCUCCAGAUUUGGACUCUGAUCUUGCAAGCUGUAUGUUAUACCUGUGAAAAGUACUGCAGUGUUGACUAGUGUGCACAGGCAAGAAGCUCAUUUUACUCAUUACAAAAUCUGCUUUCAUAGAAAUCACAGUAUGUCCAAAUGCCACGUUAUUAGCAGAAGAGGAUAUCAUGAUACAGAUUUCCCACCUGCUAACUGUUCUUUACUCCAAAAAGUCAAAGUAUGCACAACUUUCCUCGCCCUCCAUCUUGACGACCCACAGACACCGGCGUAGAAAUGAAAGGACGCCUCGAGCAGAAAAUCUGAAAGGCUGAUGCCUUUCCGUCGGUCCCGUUAGGUGGAGCUCUCAGACAAGGAGAAAUGACAUCCCACCAGGCACCCUGAGGAGUCGUUAGCACUGUAUUAUUCAGAUAAAAUUGAAGAACAAAAAUGCAGCUGGAGUUCAUGCAAGUGGCAAUUUGAAGAGUACCUUUAUUCUCAAACAGCUUGACUUCUCUUGUCGGGGAGAGUAUCUGUCAAACCACACGUUUCUCCUUCCUGAGCUCAAAUAACAGGUGGCUGAAAUCUGAAAAGGGCUGAUUUUCAAGAACGUGUUGUAUUUAGCAAGUUAUAUUUACAACCAAAUAGCAAUGCAAUCAUGUCUACUCGCUGCUCCUCUGGGACAGAAUUAAGAAAUAUCACCCAAAUGUGAACAGCAGAUCCGUGAUACAGGCAGGAGUGGGACUGGUCCUUCUCAAGUCACAACUCCACUGUUUAACUACAGGGCCAUAAAACUUCCUUUCCUAGUCUGCUAGCAAUGCCACGAUCCACUCAGACAAAGAAUGAUAUCAAGAAUAAGUCCAUCUGGCAUCAGCCACAGCCCAUAUGAGAUGAAGAUCAACAGCCUGGGAAGAGGAGUGAACUCAGUGCCUAGGGCUGGGCAGUGCUAGCACAAGCUGUCUUCCCCCUUUGCUGAGGGGGGCUGUCAGGUUUGGAUCAGCAGCAACACAAGGGCAGCCCCAGAAGUCAUUGCCUGUGUCAUAAACCAGAUGCCCCAGGGGAUUCUGAAUAACCCUACAGGCAAACAGAAUGGGCCAUCAUCCUCUUUUGUCAUGAAAAGGUAGGAGAUUCACUUCUGCAGCUUCAAGAGAAAUUGGGAAAGUAUGGCUACUUGAUUUUCAGCCCUGAUUUGUGCCUUCAAUUUGAUAAAGAUCCAUUCUUACACGCUUGAGUCAUUUUAGCUACUUUUUCUUGCUUUUUUUCCCCUGUACACUCAGACCUGAAAACUGGAACUCCAGCAUCCCAGGAGGGUACCACUGACGUAAUGUAGCAUGACAAUACAUAACUCCCAUUGGCUUCCUGCGUUGGUGCUCACAAGUGUUCUACGCAGAAAGUCUUUUCUUCAGAACUGUGUUGUGCUGAGGACUGAAUUAAUCUGUUAUUUAAUGUGGCUACUGAGCUUUAUGUUCCCCUGCAAAUUACCAUUACUUGAUAUUUCUUCUUGCUGUGAAUUUUUUUGUCGAGUUUGGACUUGGUGAUCCUUAUGGGUCCUUUCCAGUGUGGGUUAUUCUAUGAUUUUAUGAUUUCCAAACUGUAAAGAUUUAUACUUUCUCAUGUUGUUUGAUCGUUUGCUUUUAAUACAUCUCUUCAUCUGCUGAAUAAUGCAGGUAGAUUUUGGAUUUUCUCAUGACUUUGCCCCACCAAAGUAGCUAACUAGGGUGAAGUCCAUUAAUUGAUAUCACUGAGAACUCAGAACCUGUUUUCUGGCUCUGUCUUCUGAAAGGAAAAUCUGUGUUGUUUGUUUGAUUGCUCCUCAAGCUGCAUGUGCCUUCCCAGGCUUUGAAGCUAUGCCCAUCACUGCAGAACAUGAGAUGACUGAUAACGCCCUUCUCAUUCACAGAACAGACACUGUUCAGCAACAACAUGUUUUGGCCUAAAAAGUGGUGUUUGAGACCUGAUACGUAAUCUAUGAAUUCGUCCAAUCUGGUCAGUGCCCCUUGCUUUGGUGUUCUUAAGAUAUAGAUGCACAUCCACUCAGAAAAUCACUGCUGCCCCAGGCAGUGGCCAGGCCAUCUCUAUCAGCUCUUGGUCACUGGGAACGUUUCAAAGUUGCUCUGGAAACAGAAGGCUCUGAAACUACACAGUGUUAUUCCCAUGAACAAUGCACUGCCCUACAGUUUGCUCUGUUCACAGCCAGCUACUCUUCUAUUACUCUUUUUAUUUUAUUAUUUGCCCACAAAUUUUGUUAUACUUUCUUGUAAGCAGUAAAAAUUCAAGUUUUGUUGAAAUCAGCAAUAAAAAUUCUGAAGCAAAAAAUACCAAUAAAUCUAGUUAUUUAGCCAAUAAACAGAGGUAGGCUAAACUAGUAUGCUCUGAUCCCUGUGCAGCAGUGCCAAGCAGGUGGCCAUACACAAUUUAGCUCACUGACGAUUGCCUGCAGUGUGACCAACGCAUGGCAGUCCUUGGUGCAGACACAUCCAGGAGCAGCUGGCCGAGGGCAUUCACUGGGUAUUUUGGGGCAUUGUCCUGGCACCUGUUCUCCAAUGAAUUGUUCUUUAUCACUUUAAUAAACCGGGAUAUACAUUCUUACAUUUUGGCUUCUAAAAUUCCCGUGAAACCACUGAAAGCUGAGCAUGCGGUGGAAGACUGUAUGUAGGAAUGUUCAGCUUCUGUUGGACAUUCUUGAUGGGAAUCUCCUUCAGUGAACACUGAGAUGUAUGAACUACAAGCCUUUCACCGAUACCCUGAAGUUGCAGGCAAAAGCCACUGUCUUAAAAAAGAAAGGGAUUAGGCUAGCUGGAUGUUUUGGUUGGUAAAGGAGUUGAAAAACAUUAUUUAUUUCAGCAUGAACUCACCGGACCUCUGCCCCUGUUUUCACUGCAGAGAGACACAGGAUGGAUUCAUUUUGAUUCUGUUCUCAGGCGAUGGUAAGAGGAUCGUCUCUGUUGAAUAGCCCUGACUGUUGUGACACCAAGUGUCCUCCACUAGCACAGAGCCCUGUUUGUUCCCCCAGCCCCAGCGACACGCUGGGUCAGACUCCCUACAUUGGGGCUGCACGCAUUCGGCAGAUCUCUUCACCAUCAGUGGGGUUCAGGGGGGACGCAACGUGGCUGACACUGGGACUACAGACCCUGGGCAGCUGGGGAGCAAUGAUGGUGGGCCCAGCAGGGCAAUGCCCCCUCCUGCCAGUUUCCUUCUCUGAGCAACCUGUUCAUCGGGGUCCGUGUAGGUGUGCAAUGCUGUGUGACCGUGGAUUUUUGCACCCAACCUCUGUGCGCAUUGUUGACUGCAGUGGCACCACUGCUGCAGCACAUUUUCAAAGAGAACUGAAGAAAACAAAAAGCUACAUGUACUGGUAUUCCUCUUUAAUUUAAUAUCAUCUUACAAGGUGGAAAUUAAAAUGAUUUUUUCUGUCACCGUUAUCUCACUUCGCUUGGCGAUGAUCGAUUUCCUUCUCCCCUACUGCUUACUAAUAAGACAUCUGAACACUGAGAUGGUUUUUGUGUUUACUUCCUUGUUUAAAUCAGCUUCCCCAGCUAAGGACAGCCUUGGCACUACAUCUGCUCCGCAACUUGUGAUUUCUGCGUUGGCUCCACGCUGACAGAACGUCAGGCAUGGAGAGGUAUAUAUUUUUAAUUACUCGGGGAUGCCCCUGUGUAUACGUACAGGCAAAUUAACUAAGCACAGUCCAAAACCUGCUCCUAGCAGCGCUCACAUGUUACACACACACACACACAUUUCAGGCACCGAGCCUCACCUCUUGGGGCUGACGCAUGGAGAGAUGGUGGCAGGUGAGAACGACACCUUUCUACAAAUGGAACACUGAUGUCCAGGGAGAGGAAUAGACAAAAGUCAGCAUCGCUGAUGUCUGAAAGAAUCUGGUGCUUGCUUCCAGAAAUCAGCGAUCCUUCGCAGAGGUGGGGGUAUGGCAGUGAGCACGGCUGCUGCCUGGGGUCUGGGCACCGUGCUGUGAGCUCCUCGCACCCUGCUAGCACGGCAGCUCCAGCCCUGAUGGAGUUAUUGCGACAGACUAAAAAUGCUCAGUGAACAUCUCACAGUUUAAGGAGAAAAUACCAAAAGGGAAGGGAAGGAAACUUGGCCAUAUGCACAUCGCAGGCGAGGAACCAUGGAAAGAUGGGGCCGAGGCUCUGGAACUGAAUGCUGCUGGGGAGCUGAGUAAUAGGCUCUGCAGGGCACGCUCUCGGGAUGUCAUCCCACACCUUUUGGACGUUUUGCUGUCUGUGGCAUCUCCUUACCGAAUGUGUUUUGUGUCGCCCCAGCUGAAAUCUCUGUGUUCAGCAUUAGUCAGUUUUUAUCUCUGGGAUCUUCACACCCCAAGACCUACACAGUGCUGUCCUAUCUCCUUCCUCUCAAACUUCAUUGUCCUUCGCUUACCCUGUUUCUCUAAGCGGAAAUUUUGGUGUUUCCUUCUCCCUCUUGGCAAAGCUGCUCUUGCUCUUCUCAGGAAGACAACACCUUAAGGUUUCUUUCAGCCCUAUCCUAAACAGUUUCACGAUUUUCUUCACAACGAUCUCUGUAGCAACACCACCUCACCCACAGCUGGGCUGUACCGGGUCCCUUCCCACAUGCAGACCCCGUGGGGGGACCCCACACCACGGCCGGGUCCCGGCCCUGGGCAGAGGCACCCGCGGCACUGCAGGGACCGGGCCGGGAGG
rnacentral:lncRNA from 1 species